AUAACCCAAAUCAACCCACCUUUGGCGGUUGAAGAUAAACCAAAAACAACCCCCCUUAAACCUUUCUCUCUCCCCAUGAAACCCACAAACCCCAAAACCGACACUCAAACUGUGGAAACCCCAUCAAUUCUCUCUCCUUCGCCUGUUGUGCCUCCCUCACCGAAGUUUUCUUUUUUUCACCGGAGGCUCGCCUCUCCUCGCUGGUGUUGUACUACGCAGCGUCGUCUCUCUCUACUUCGUGAUACUGUCGUUGUUGUUUCGUCGCUGCUGUCAUUAUCUCCUAUCCCUACUGCUAGUGUUGAUGAGGUUUUCUCUAGUUCCAUUGUUCUUAUGGAAACGUCGUGACGAUUUUGGAGUUGCUAAAACACUUGAUGAAGAGCCUCAGGUUCUGAUUAUGUUAUUAUGUUAAAACAAUAAAACCUUGUAUUAUUGUGCUAUUGUUAAAAUCUGAUGUUGUAAUAUUUCUGGGUUUGUUUUGAUCAUUAGAUGGAUGUGAGGUUGAUUUGGUGUAGUUCUUGUGCUGGCUAGUGGCUAAUUCCAUGAUUUAUGUAUGUUGUUAAUGUAGAUAUAGAUGAUGAGAAUGAUGAUGAUGGUGCUGGGCAAGCUAAGCAACAUCGUUAUGCAGAAGCACGAAGAAGGAAAGAUGAUGCCAUGAAGCAGAAGAGCGUCGACUUUACUUUCUAGGGAAUUCGACCAUGUACUCCCAAGAGAUGAUUGACGAGCUAAGAGAUAUGUGGGUGAAUUAUCUAAACAACUAAACAUAAGAUGAUGGAGGUUGAAGACGACGGUCAAGUUUGCUCUUGUAGUCUUGUAUAUAUUAUUUGACUAUUUUAGAAUUUUAGUUUUUAGUAGCUAGCAUUAGAUAUAGAAACUUUAUUUUAAGACAUAUUAGAAGAAAUGGAUGCUUUGAAUGAAAUUGGUUUUGUAUAUAGAUCAAAUGUAGCAAAUA